rnacentral:pre_miRNA from 1 species
ACACUAGUUCCUCCGUCCCAUAUUAAGUGCCGAAAUAUUACAUGUAUCUAGACAUGUUUUAGUGUGUAGAUACAUCCAUAUUUAACAAAUCCAUGUCACUUAAUAUGGGACGGAGGGAGUAGUUU